rnacentral:rRNA from 1 species
GACGAACGCUGGCGGCGUGCCUAAUACAUGCAAGUAGAACGCUGAAGGAGGAGCUUGCUUCUCUGGAUGAGUUGCGAACGGGUGAGUAACGCGUAGGUAACCUGCCUGGUAGCGGGGGAUAACUAUUGGAAACGAUAGCUAAUACCGCAUAAUAGUAGAUGUUGCAUGACAUUUGCUUAAAAGGUGCAAUUGCAUCACUACCAGAUGGACCUGCGUUGUAUUAGCUAGUUGGUGAGGUAACGGCUCACCAAGGCGACGAUACAUAGCCGACCUGAGAGGGUGAUCGGCCACACUGGGACUGAGACACGGCCCAGACUCCUACGGGAGGCAGCAGUAGGGAAUCCUCGGCAAUGGACGGAAGUCUGACCGAGCAACGCCGCGUGAGUGAAGAAGGUUUUCGGAUCGUAAAGCUCUGUUGUAAGAGAAGAACGAGUGUGAGAGUGGAAAGUUCACACUGUGACGGUAUCUUACCAGAAAGGGACGGCUAACUACGUG